rnacentral:rRNA from 1 species
GGGGAAUAUUGCGCAAUGGGCGAAAGCCUGACGCAGCGACGCCGCGUGUGGGAUGAAGGUCUUCGGAUCGUAAACCACUGUCGGGGGGGGACGAACUCAAUGACGGUACCCCCAACGGAAGCACCGGCUAACUCUGUGCCAGCAGCCGCGGUAAUACCGAGGGUGCGAGCGUUGUCCGGAAUCACUGGGCGUAAAGGGCGCGUAGGCGGCCUGAUAAGUAGGGGGUGAAAUCUUGCGGCUCAACCGCAAGGCUGCCUCCUAGACUGUCAGGCUUGAGCACGGCAGAGGCUGGUGGAAUUCCCGGUGUAGCGGUGGAAUGCGUAGAGAUCGGGAAGAACAUCGGUGGCGAAGGCGGCCAGCUGGGCCGUUGCUGACGCUGAGGCGCGACAGCGUGGGGAGCAA